UUGUGAUAUAUCUUGUUUGUGUUGUAAAUAAAUUAGUGUGGAUGCCAUGUCCCCACGUGUUCUGUACCACUAUGAUCUCUGCAAGUCUUUGAGGUUAUAAAUAGCCUCUUUCAUUUAUGAAAGAAGACACCCAAAAAUAGAAAGAAUUAUUAUACUGCACUUGCUCCUUUCCCUCUUUCUCUCUAUGCAUGUGCUUUUAUUGCUCCUUUAUUUUAUUACAUCGCUUUUAUUUUAUAACACGUUAUCAACACGAGGCUCUAACUAACUGAUAUUAUCCAAUUCAGUCGGGAUUAAUCUUUAAAGAAAUUCAGAGAUGAGAAAGUGAGGUAAGUUUCCUUCACUUAAUUUUCUUAGCAUAACUAGCAUAUUCCAGUGAUUGAUAAAUACGCGGUCUGCUUUGAAAAGCAAUCUAUAAUUAGUAUAGAAUGAUUAAGAUUCGUUUAUAAUAUUCUUAGAUUUGCACUCUGAAAUAUUGGAUCUACCGAAUUUGACAAUCAGUAAUUAAGGAGUUUAACAUCUUUGUUUCCUUUGGCAAUACUAAUUAAAGUCAUCUGAUCAAGUUAAAAUCCGAUUAGUUACCAUAGUAUUAAUUAGGGGUGUUCAUGGGUCGGUUUGGGUCGGUUUUAGGUUAAAACUAAAACCAAACCAAUUAAGUUGGUUUUUAAAAUUUCUAAAACCAAACCAAACCAAAUAUAAUACAUAAUCAUCGGUUUGGUUGUAGUCGGUUUGGUUCGGUUUGGGUUGGUUUUUCGGUUUUUAAGAAAACUAACGGUAUUUCUAUUUCUCAGGUUUUUUUUUCCUACAAUUAGGAGAGAAUUUUUUAACUUUUUCCAACUUAUAAUUCAUUAUUAUCUUUUUAUUGUGGUAGCUAUAGUUUUCUUGUAUUAUGAAUAAAAUGUCUUAGGAUUUAUGAUUUUAUUUAAGUGAGUAAAGUUUAUAAGAAAUAUAAAAAAUGAAUCUAGGUAAACCUCAUAGUUGUUUCUUUGAAUAAAUGAGUUAGAAUUUAUGGAUUUCUUUUUUAAAAUCGGCUUAAAGGUAUAAAAUUCAUUAGUCUGUUAGAGAUAAAUUAAAUUAAGUAUAUAAAUUAUUUAAAAGUAUUUAUAAAAAUCAACUUAUUGUAUAUAUAUAAUUAUAAAAAUUAUGUAUAAAAUUUAUUGAUUCGGUUCGUUUUUUUCUUCGGUUUGCUUUUAGUAAAACCAAAAUCAAACCAAGUAUUAUCGAUUUUUAAAAGUUCGAAACCAAAUCAAACCAAACCCAAGUAAAUAUCGGUUUAUUUAGUCGGUUUGAUUUGAUUUUCGAUUUGGAUCGGUUUUUAACCAAACCGUGAACACUACUUGGCUAUUGGCAAAAUGUUAUUGCAGAGGAAAUUUAUAACGGUAUAAGUAGAUUUGAUAAAUCUUAAAAUUCUCAGCUAAGUAUGUGGUAAGUAUGGAAUAUUCACUAAACUGAUUAGAAGAAAAAUUGUGUGCAUAUAUACUGUAUAAUCUUUUACUAUUUGAUUUUAAAGUUCACAUCAAAACAUAUUAUUUAAUUGAAUCACUCUUGUCUUUAGACGGACGUGAUUUGAUUAUAUUGAAUUUUCGCUUGGCGUUAAUAUGAAAAUUUAAUUUGCUUAUAUAUACUCCUAUCAUAUUUAUGUGAUCUCACUUAAUAAUACUAUAUAUUGAACUCAAGAGUAUCCAAACGAUGAACUUCAAAGGAGUUGGCGUGGUUAUAUUUCAUGCCAUUGGUUAAGCGUGAAACGGUGGAUUCAAUCUCAUCGCAUCAAGAGGGUAUAAUAUCAGGUCCAGUCCUGGUGCACCGUGAUAAUUAAUGAAAUAUUGGGUUUGAGUCCCAUCAUAUUAUGGCCUACCAAGCCUUUAUAUGGGUAGGAUAGUGGGUUUGAGUCUCAUGCCCCAUUUUGAUGAUAUAAUGAUGACUAAAGCAAAAUAAUGUGCUUUUGAUGAAAAGUUAUGAAGCUUGUCACAUUGAAUU